rnacentral:rRNA from 1 species
GAUGAACGCUGGCGGCGUGCCUAAUACAUGCAAGUCGAGCGAACAGAUGAGGAGCUUGCUCCUCUGACGUUAGCGGCGGCCGGGUGAGUAACACGUGGAUAACCUACCUAUAAGACUGGGAUAACUUCGGGAAACCGGAGCUAAUACCGGAUAAUAUAUUGAACCGCAUGGUUCAAUAGUGAAAGACGGUUUUGCUGUCACUUAUAGAUGGAUCCGCGCCGCAUUAGCUAGUUGGUAAGGUAACGGCUUACCAAGGCAACGAUGCGUAGCCGACCUGAGAGGGUGAUCGGCCACACUGGAACUGAGACACGGUCCAGACUCCUACGGGAGGCAGCAGUAGGGAAUCUUCCGCAAUGGGCGAAAGCCUGACGGAGCAACGCCGCGUGAGUGAUGAAGGUCUUCGGAUCGUAAAACUCUGUUAUUAGGGAAGAACAAAUGUGUAAGUAACUAUGCACGUCUUGACGGUACCUAAUCAGAAAGCCACGGCUAACUACGUG